rnacentral:rRNA from 1 species
UACGAAGGGUGCAAGCGUUACUCGGAAUUACUGGGCGUAAAGCGUGCGUAGGCGGUUUGUUAAGUCUGUCGUGAAAGCCCUGGGCUCAACCUGGGAAUGGCAUUGGAUACUGGCGACCUAGAGUGCGGUAGAGGGGUGUGGAAUUCCCGGUGUAGCAGUGAAAUGCGUAGAUAUCGGGAGGAACACCAAUGGCGAAGGCAGCUUGCUGGGACGGUACUGACGCUGAGGCGCGAAAGCGUGGGGAGCAAACGGGG